rnacentral:rRNA from 1 species
GGGCCCGCACAAGCGGCGGAGCAUGUUGCUUAAUUCGAAGCAACGCGAAGAACCUUACCAAGGUUUGACAUGCAGGGAAAAGCCGUAGAGAUAUGGUGUCCGUAAGGGUCCUGCACAGGUGGUGCAUGGCUGUCGUCAGCUCGUGUCGUGAGAUGUUGGGUUAAGUCCCGCAACGAGCGCAACCCUCGUCCUAUGUUGCCAGCGGAUAAUGCCGGGGACUCAUAGGAGACUGCCGGGGUCAACUCGGAGGAAGGUGGGGAUGACGUCAAGUCCUCAUGCCCCUUAUAUCUUGGGCUGCAAACAUGCUACAAUGGCCAGUACAGAGGGCUGCGAGACCGUAAGGUGGAGCGAAUCUCAAAAAGCUGGUCUCAGUUCGGAUUGGGGUCUGCAACUCGACCCCAUGAAGUCGGAGUCGCUAGUAAUCGCGAAUCAGCAACGUCGCGGUGAAUACGUUCCCGGGCCUU